AUUUAGCAAGAAUUUAAUUUUGGUUCCGAUUGAACGUUUUUCAGUAGUUUAAGACAUGCAAAUCGUUGUUUUCGACAUAUCACAAAUAUUAGAAAAUAAGGUGUAGAGGUGAGUAUGUUAAAUAAGAUACCCUAUAGUCUUCAUAGAUAGGAGAUAAUAAUUAAAGGAGAUACUUCUGCUAUAGGAUUCUAUUUAAUUUGAUUAGGUAGUUGGUAGGGUAAAGGCCUACCAAGCCGACAAUCGAAAGUCAAGUUUGAAAGAACCUCUGGCCACAUUGGGAAUGAGAUCUCCCAAGUAGUAUAACACUACCAGCAGUCAAGAAUAUUAGUCAAUGCUCGCAAGAGUGAACUAGCUAACUGAAAUCAUAGAGUUUCUUAAAACUCAUGAUGUCGUAAGGGAAAAUAAUGAUAAUACCUUACUAUUAGUGUCGUCCAAAUCUGGUGCCAGAAGACUCGGUAAGACCAGAGACGCGAACGUUAAUCAUCAUAAACAGGCGUAAAGGGUUUGUAGGCAGUUACCAGCAGACUAUGAUUGCUAAAAUAAAGUAGUCUAAUUGGAAACUAGAAUCAAAAAGAGGUUAUAGUGUAUAACGCUUAGAGGAGGGCUGAUAUCCUUAGAUCCUAAGCAGAAUACUCAGGGCGAAGGCCACUUUCCAUUAAUGAUUGACGCUGAGAAACGAAGGUUAGGGUAGGAAAUAGGAUUAGAUACCCCGGUACUCCUUUCUGUAAACGAUGAAUGGUAGUCAUUAGUUUAGUUAAAACUAGAGGCGAAGUUAACACGAUAACCAUUCCGCCUUGUGAGUACUACUGCAAAGUAGAAAACAAAAAAAUUAGUCGGUCUCGAAGCAAACGGAGUGAAGCAUGUUAUUUAAUACGAUAAUCCGCGUAAAACCUUACCAGAACUUGUAUACAAACUUUUUAAAGGAGUAUUUUUCAUCUUAAAAAUACUUAAGUACAGGUGUUGCAUGGCUGUCUUCAGUUCGUGUUGUUAAACAUUAGGUUAAUUCCACUAACGAACGAAAUCCCUGUUAUUAAUUUAUUCUUAAUAACUAAUGAAUCUGAUAGAGAUUCAGCGGGGGCUAAGACAAGUCGUUAUGGCCCUCAUGUUCUGGGCUAUAGACGUGCCACAAAAACUUUUACAAAGUGACGCAAUACUUCCUAAAAGAAGUGGAGCUAAUCAUUAAAAAAAGUGAUUUAUAUUAAAUUAAGACGGAUUGUCUCCUGCAAUUCGGAGGCAUGAAGAAGGAAUUCCGAGUAAUCGUUGAUAAGUAGCGCAACGGUGAAGCUAGUUUCGUGAUGAACUAACUGUCUGUCGCUGGGAAGAAGCUUUUAGUGGAGGAAACUGGAGGUAGAUAUGGUUUUUUCAUAGUUUAGUUUACAAUUAUAGUUAAUUUAAUUUUUAAAACAGCUAUGUUAACCUUAUUGGCUUUAGUUAAUCCAUUGAGGUAACAUCUCAAAAGUCAUAGCAGGGUAGCUGUACUGGAAAGUGCAGCUGGAUAAUAAUUCAUUUGU
rnacentral:rRNA from 1 species